ACAGUGUGGUGCUUGAGGUCCAAAAGCUUCAUCACUACCAUAGUGGUGCCCAACAGUCUUCCCUCACAAAGGCUGCAGAGGCAGCUAGGAAGCAACAGAAGCACAGUCUGGCAUCUUCUGAGUAGGAGACCACCCCAUGCACACUCAUAAGCAAGCUCAGAAAUGAACACUGACACAGGUGGAGCAGGUGAGAAGCAAGAUGAGAGAUAAGCCUAUGGUAAGCUGCAGGACUACUCAAAAUCUGGGACUCCCAAAUACAAGGAUUCAAGCAAUUUCGAAGCAUGAAGAAAGACCAGUCAUGGUGGCUCACCCCUGUAAUCCCAGUCCUUUGGGAGACUGAGGCUGGAGGAUCACUUGAGGAUAGGAAUUCAAGACCAAUCUGAGCCCAUGACACAGGUGCUUCAAGUGGAAAACAAGUGACUCAGAAACUAAACUCGAUCCAGAGGAAGCCUGAGUGGCCAGACUCUACCCAGCUGCAGUGACUGCCAAGCAUUGUUUCCUGUGGUUGUUUGAUGCUCAUACCACUCCUGGUGCACACUUCCUCUGCCUAAUCCCGUGCAAAUGAGAGCAUUCUUCCAGUUCCACCCCCACACUACCCCUCUCAACUAUGCAUGGGAAGCAAACACCAGCCUCCUUUAUUCUUACAGAUGUGCAUAAGCCAUUAAAAAAAAAAAUGAAGACACAGAAAAUAAACAUGGAAAAUGCCAACCUCCUUUUCUAGGAGAUCUUGUUGAUAGGAAAUACACAGGCACAACAGUCAAAGGAUUGAUGGCCAAGAGUUCUGCCUCCUGCUGUUUGUGUAGAUAAGUAAAUUGGCU